UAUCCGCCAAUAUACAUUCAUAAGAGUUCAAAAGCAAAUUUCACCCGUUUCUGAGGUCUUCAUAUUUUACCCAUUCCCACGUGCUAAAUUUUGGGCGUCAUCUUCCAAAUUGUCAAGGCAUGAUAUCAGCUCCAUUUCUACAAGUGAAUUCGUAAAGCUUAGACAUUAUUGAUAUAUGAUGAAUUUUUUAGACUAUUCUAAAAGGAAGGAUUGCUCAAGUAGAUAUAGUUCUCACUUAUUCUGGUAGUCUCUGUAAUCCCUUAGCAAGCAAAUCGUUGAUGAGUUCCCCUUGAAAGCUUGGUUAGAGAAUGCGCUCGCCUGCACAUGCACUUCAGAACUCAAUUCAUACAUAUCGG
rnacentral:lncRNA from 1 species